rnacentral:rRNA from 1 species
UACGUAGGGUGCAAGCGUUGUCCGGAAUUAUUGGGCGUAAAGAGCUCGUAGGCGGUUGUCGCGUCUGCUGUGAAAACUCGGGCUACUCCGGCCUGCAGUGGGUACGGGCAGACUAGAGUGCGGUAGGGAGACUGGAAUUCCUGGUGUAGCGGUGAAAUGCGCAGAUAUCAGGAGGAACACCGGUGGCGAAGGCGGGUCUCUGGGCCGUAACUGACGCUGAGGAGCGAAGCGUGGGGAGCGAACAGG